rnacentral:rRNA from 1 species
ACUUAAAUUGAAGAGUUUGAUCAUGGCUCAGAUUGAACGCUGGCGGCAGGCCUAACACAUGCAAGUCGAGCGGUAGCACAGAGAGCUUGCUCUCGGGUGACGAGCGGCGGACGGGUGAGUAAUGUCUGGGAAACUGCCUGAUGGAGGGGGAUAACUACUGGAAACGGUAGCUAAUACCGCAUAAUGUCGCAAGACCAAAGUGGGGGACCUUCGGGCCUCAUGCCAUCAGAUGUGCCCAGAUGGGAUUAGCUAGUAGGUGGGGUAACGGCUCACCUAGGCGACGAUCCCUAGCUGGUCUGAGAGGAUGACCAGCCACACUGGAACUGAGACACGGUCCAGACUCCUACGGGAGGCAGCAGUGGGGAAUAUUGCACAAUGGGCGCAAGCCUGAUGCAGCCAU